rnacentral:rRNA from 1 species
GAUGAACGCUGGCGGCGUGCCUAAUACAUGCAAGUCGAGCGAACAGACGAGGAGCUUGCUCCUCUAACGUUAGCGGCGGACGGGUGAGUAACACGUGGAUACCCUACCUAUAAGACUGGGAUAACUUCGGGAAACCGGAGCUAAUACCGGAUAAUAUUUUGAACCGCAUGGUUCAAUAGUGAAAUACGGUUUUGCUGUCACUUAUAGAUGGUUCCGCGCCGCAUUAGCUAGUUGGUAAGGUAACAGCUUACCAAGGCAACGAUGCGUAGCCGACCUGAGAGGGUGAUCGGCCACACUGGAACUGAGACACGGCCCAGACUCCUACGGGAGGCAGCAGUAGGGAAUCUUCCGCAAUGGGCGAAAGCCUGACGGAGCAACGCCGCGUGAGUGAUGAAGGUCUUCGGAUCGUAAAACUCUGUUAUUAGGGAAGAACAAAUGUGUAAGUAACUAUGCACGUCUUGACGGUACCUAAUCAGAAAGCCACGGCUAACUACGUG